rnacentral:rRNA from 12 species
CGAGCGUUAAUCGGAAUUACUGGGCGUAAAGCGCACGCAGGCGGUUUGUUAAGCUAGAUGUGAAAGCCCCGGGCUCAACCUGGGAUGGUCAUUUAGAACUGGCAGACUAGAGUCUUGGAGAGGGGAGUGGAAUUCCAGGUGUAGCGGUGAAAUGCGUAGAUAUCUGGAGGAACAUCAGUGGCGAAGGCGGCUCCCUGGCCAAAGACUGACGCUCAUGUGCGAAAGUGUGGGUAGCGAACAGGAUUAGAUACCCUGGUAGUCCACACCGUAAACGCUG